CAGGGAGGGUUUGGGGGGGGAAUGUGCGACGUGGCAGGCGGCACAUCUGCGAAAUGCAAACGUCGAAUCUGGAUUUACUUACAAUCCACUGGUUACAUCAACAAGUGGACAGUGAUAUUGGUUUGAUUUUUGGCUCUAGUUUCCUUUAUUUGAAACUGCUAAGACGGAAAAGUAGGUAAAGAGAGACGGAAGACGUGCGGCAAAGGUCAUCAGGCCGGGAAUCGAACCUGCGACGGCCACGUCAAGGACUGAGGCUUUAACCCCUGCACAGCCACAGCAGCUCCUGCCUGUCAUUUUGUUGACUCUGAUUUUGUUGCUCGUUAUUGUCAUGUUUCUGGCCCGUCUGCCUGCUAUGUUUCUCUCCUCUGUACUCCUCAUCAAGCUCAUCUGGUUCACCUGCAUGCUGCUGCGCUGGAGCACAAUCAGACUCAUGCCUUCCACCUGUUCACCAGCAGUUAUAUUCAGCUCUCAGGCAGGCAGACGGUGCCAGAUUUUUGAAAGCCACCGAGUGAGUAGAUAUCCAGCGUUCUUCCUGACCUGACCACGAUCACGAACACAUUUUUGACCCUUGGAUUUUCCUGCCUUGCCUUGCCCACGUCGGAUUCUUCACUGGCUUCUGUUUUUUGGUCUCGACCCUGUUUCUGCCUUUUGACCUCUGCCUCCUGCCUCGCCCUUGGAUAUUGUCUGCCUGAGAUUGCCUGCUAGUACUGGACCCUUUUUCCGUGACCUGACCACUGCUCUUCGCCCAACCCUCAGAUACGUUUGUCUGGUCCUGCCUGCCCUAAACCCUGUGCCUCCCAGUCCUGUCCUUCCCUAGGUGUGCCACUUGUCUCUUCCACUGUGCUACCUGGAUCCCUCAUCCCCCACAACACCAGGAAGAGGUUCCUGUUCCUUGCUCGUGGUUCCCCGUCCCUAUACCUGGUCCUCAAUAAAGACCUUAUUGAUUUUUACUUUGUGUCUGACUGAAAUUUCGGGUCCUCAGGUCUGAACAUUACAG